rnacentral:lncRNA from 1 species
CCAUGGUUUUGCCAGAGAUGACUGGAGGACCGGUUUGACCGGCCUAGUCCUACUCAGAAGUGGGCAUUAGUUGGGCCUGGCCACGCGAGGCUGGCCUCAAACGAUAGAUUUAAAGCAGCUCAGGGGGAGCAGAUAGAGAGAUCUAUUGGCUGAGACACCCUUUUGGAGGAUUCCGGUUGUAUUCAUGCGAAACGAGGACACUUUCCUUCGCCCCGUCGACCGUCGGAUCAUCCCUAUUUCACUUUGAGAUCUGUGGAACGCGUGACUGGCGGAGGUCGGAGCGCAGUGAAUCGGACACGAGAGAUAUUUAAAACGGAUGAUCCCAUGGUCAACGGUCGUCCUGGGCAACUCCUCUUUU